AUGGCAUGGGAAUAGGAUCUCCAAUCUGAACAGACUACCUUCUUCAAGCAGUGUCCCCAGGCCUCUGCUUUCAUAGACUGAGAUUUCUCCUACUUAGCAGCAGCAGAGGACAUGACUACACAGCCAGACUCCAGAAAGAGAGGAAACCACCUCUUGCUGCACUCUUGAGCCCUAUAUUUCCCAUAGGACUCAACUUGAGAAGGGUGGCAUUUCAGUGGCAGCAACAACUUGUCCUCCACGUCUGGGGACAGAGGUAAAACAAAGAAAGCAGCCUGUUUAGCGUGGCAUUUCUCUAUUUCAACUGAGGAUGCAGGAAGUUCACAAGACAACGUUCCAGCUGCGAUUUGGAAUGUUGACUCUGUUCCGCGUGAACCCUGACGUCCAAAUGCAUUCAUGAGGUGCCAUUUUCAACUCUCCUGCCAGUCUCCAUCCUCAUCUGUAUCAGAAUCUUAAUGCCUGCUUCCCUGUUUGAGUUAUGGAAAUUUAUUGAAAUGGUGUAUUCUGA